rnacentral:rRNA from 1 species
UAUAACACCUGUAUAUACAACUUUCAGCAACGGAUCUCUUGGCUCUCGCAUCGAUGAAGAACGCAGCGAAAUGCGAUAAGUAAUGUGAAUUGCAGAAUUCAGUGAAUCAUCGAAUCUUUGAACGCACCUUGCGCUCCUUGGUAUUCCGAGGAGCAUGC